rnacentral:rRNA from 1 species
GACGAACUGUCCUAACGUUGUUCGGAAUCACUGGGCUUAAAGGGCGCGUAGGCGGUCUUGCAAGUCCCGUGUGAAAUCCCUCGGCUCAACUGAGGAAUCGCACGGGAAACUGCUUGGCUUGAGAUCGGGAGAGGGAAGCGGAAUUCCGGGUGUAGCGGUGAAAUGCGUAGAUAUCCGGAGGAACACCGGUGGCGAAGGCGGCUUCCUGGACCGACACUGACGCUGAGGCGCGAAAGCUAGGGGAGCAAACGGG